UCAAAUAGUUUCAAAACAGAGAAAACUUCAAAAACAUUUUUUUAUUCUUAAUAUUAAUAAACAAAAAACUGUCACAUUAGGAUGAAUUUAUAAAUUUUUAGAAUCCAAUAUAUAAAACACAAAAAAUACAUAUCACAAAUUUGUACCACUUUGGGCAUGAGACUUUCUGAAGACUUUGUGGGAAGUCUUCUAGCAUAAAAUGCAUUAGAAGACUUAUCUAGAAGUCUUCCGAGAGUCUUCUGAGAAGUCUUUCAACGUCAGUCUCAGAUCUGAAAAACCUGCAAAUUCAAAAACAUUCAAAUGACUUCAAAACAGAUAAAAACUUCAAAAAUAUAAUUUUAAUGCUUAAAUAAUAAACAAAACAGUCGCAAUAUGUUGAAUCUAUAGCUUUUUAGAAUAUAAUAUAUAAAACACACAAUAAUACAUAUCCAACAUUUAUAGAUCUGCCUUUGAAUGAGUGAAAGAUGAGAACCAUGUAAUGAAAAAACUGUAAAAAGAAGAUAAAUUUGUGAGAAGACAUAAGAAAAAAAAUGAAAAAUAGAUUUAAAUUUGGUGUUUUGAUGUUCAAAGAGAUUAGAGAGAGGUUGGAGAGUUUUAGAGUGAGAAAUAUUACAUUUUUGUUACAGUCAUUUGAGAGGAGGAAAAAGAAUGUGUAAAUUUUCUUUAUAUAUGGAGACAAAAAUUUCAAUUAGGUUAAAUAUUUUUGAUAUAAAAGACUUCUAAGAGAAGACUUUUUGGAAUGUUUUCUAAGAGAAGAUUUCUUUGAAAGUCUUCUAGAUCCUACAUUCACUCAUCUAUGUUAAAAAUAAUUCAAAUUUAGUAAAACUAAAUUUUCAUCGUUUUUAAAUGUUUAUUAAUACAUGAUUUCUAUUUUUCUUUUUCAAAAUUUUUUUUAUUAAAUUUAUUAUCUAAUACAUGAGAAGACUUUCCCAAGAAGACUUCGGAAAGACUUCUGGAAGACUUCGAUUUAGGCAGGAAACCUAAUUUUUUCUAAAUUUAGUUGGGGACCCUAAAUUCUACUAAAAUUUAGGCGGGAUUUUCCAGAAGACUUCUUGGUAAGUCUUCUAUGAGUCUUCUAGACCCUAUAAUCAAAUAACUAAGCAAAAAAACAAUUUCUUAAACUUGUAAGAUAUUUAGAAAGUAUUUAAAUAAAGUUAUUAGUUAGUCACUAAUCACAUAUAGGUCAAAUUUAAAGAAAAAAAAAGAUGAGAUUUCAAAAUCUAACCCUAAAAAUACUAACAAUACUACAACAUAUGUUACCAUACCCUAAACCAAAGACUAUCAUGACUCAAUCUACAUUCACUCAUCUAUGUUAAAAAUAAUUCAAUUUUAGUAAAACUAAAUUUCCAUCUUUUAAAAAUGUUUAUUAAUACAUGAUUUUGACUUUUUCCCUUUGAAAAUAUUUUUUAUAAAAUUUAUUAAUUAUUUUUAAGAUCUAAUCCACGAGAAGACUUCCUCUGGAAGACUCCUGGAUGACUUAUGGAAGACUUUUGAUUUAGGCGGGAACCCUAAAUUCUACUAAAAUUUAGGCGGAAUGUGUCGGAAGAUUUUACUAAAAUUCUACUAAAACAUAAAGUUACAUAGGUAUAUGUAGAGAUUUUUGUUACUAUUAAAUGUGGUGCGUUUGUAACAUUUGAAGUCCAAAGGACAAAGGAUUUAGACAAGUAGUUGUUGCCAGAGUACACAUUGAAUUGGUCAGAUUAUCAGUUGUAUUGGUCGAGAAACUGCUUCUUUGAUAGUUUGGAAACUAUUGCAAAAUGCUAGAAUGAAAAGACCGCACGUGAUGCCGAGAGAAUAAACAGAUAUCAUGGUAUGGAACAAUGUUGCAUGGAAACUUGUCCGAAGAUCCGUUUCACGUUUCAGAAACGUUUCGGAAUCGGAAUCUCUCGGAAACUCGCGGAAGCUCUUAAAAAUCUCAUCUUGGAAAUUUGAUGAAAACUACGUUUUUAUUUUGGAAACUCGCGAUUCUGUUUUGGUAUUUGUGCACAAUAAUGUUCGUCUUCUAUGUAGACGAAGUCUUGCAUACAAGGAUGGUCCCAAUCAUAUGUGGGAUGUUAGAGGUGAUCAAUUUGAUUCAAUGUAUGAGAUUAAUCUUGGGAAACUUGAGUGGUUUGAGGAUCUUUCUCUUGAUAAACCUAAGUUGGAAGCAGUCGUGUUUGAUGUAGCUAAUGAAGAUGAGGUUAAAGAUGAUAUAUAUUCGUGAUCACUGACGUGAUGUUAUGAUUUUCAUCUUUAGUUAAGUUAUUUAAUAUUUAAUUAUUGAGAUUUGUUAUUUUGAUUUUUAUGACUUUGAUGUUUAAUGAUUGGCUUAUUUCAUAUUGGUAUGAUUAAAUAGAAUGGCUAUAAUUGUUUAUUUGUGUUCUUAGAUAUACUAAACAUAAUAAAAUGAAUUCACAUAUUAAUCAAUUGAAUAUAUAUAUAUAUAUAUAUAUAUAUAUACACUUAAAUACGUUUCCAAAACGUUUUCAAAGCAAAAAAAUUCAAAAAUUACGUUUCCACGUUUUGAAACGUUUUGUUUCCGCAUAUCCGUUUUCGCUUCCAUGCAACCUAGGUAUGGAAGGCCAAGUGAUGUUAAGUUGCUCGACAGGUGCUUCAAUUUGAAGUUGAGGUUUGUAAGAAGUAAUGGUACAUGAAGAUUCUUCGUAAAAUUUACCAGUUUAGAAACUCUCGCGGUUCGGCUUAGAUCGUUCGAGAAAUCUCGAAAAACAUAAUUUAAGUUUUUAGGGUAGGAAUGACCAUAGAACUAUUUUAGAAGUUUUUAUGUCUCGGAAAGCAAGGUUUUGGCCAAUGAGAAACAUUUCUAUCAAUCCGGAUCAGACAACAAGACGUUCAGAAUUAAAUGUGGCUCGUUUAGGUCUGUUUACGACAUGUCGGGUUUGUCCAGAAGCUGCUGAAGGAUGCAUCAACUUGCUCUCCUACUUCCAGUAGCUGGACAUGUGUCUCUUCUUGACUGGACCACGUCCAAGCAGCUCUUGUUUCUUUCCUAUUGUCUGAAUUGGUGGCUGGCCAUAAAUCUUAUUUUAACUGGACACAUUUUGUGGCUGCACACCAAUCUGCUUCCCAAUGGUUGGUUUAGGCGGCCACCGCCUCCUUCUUGUUACCCACGAGCUAAUCAAUCCCCUUAGCCAUUCCCAUCACAUAUAAAUAUAUCAUCACCCCUUAAUUCAUUUCCCACACUGAAAACCCUACCAUAGGAACCCAAGAGCACCCGAGCGAUCCCGAGCCUUAAGAUCCGAGAAGGAGCAGAAAUGAAACGGGAAGGAGAAGGAGCAGACACGCCGGAGGUGGUGGUGUGACGGAGGAAACGCUCCGGAGGUGCUAUAUAUUGUGAAGGAGCGCACCGGAGCUUGUGGUGUGACGAAGGAAACGCCACAGAGAUGAUGGUGAACUGCGGAAGAUACAGCGGUGGAGGUACUGAAGCCUACGGUGACGUCUCCGGAGGAAUUCUGUACGAUGAAGUAUUUAUGUAUAUAUAUAUGUGUAUUUUGUGUAAUCUAUAUACUAUACUAGGACCGGCCCGCCCUACGGGCAGGAUACUAUUUUAAAAAUUAUGUAAAUAAUUAGAGUAAAUAUUCAAUAUAAAUUGUUAUAUUUUAAAAUAUACAUAUUAGUUAAAUUCUGUA